rnacentral:lncRNA from 1 species
GGUUCCCUCAGUAGUAGAGGAGACAGCGGAGGAUCCUCCUGAGGUGGUGGCAGGAGCAGUGGAGGUGACAUCAGUGGGGGUGACACCGGUGGAGGUGACACCAGUGGAGGUGACAUCCGUGGUGGUGCCACCAGUGGAGGAGCCAUCUGUGGAGGUGACACCAGUGGAGGUGACACUGAUGGAGGUGACGUCUGUGGAGGUGACAGUGGUGGGGGUUCCCUCAGUAGUAGAGGAGACAGUGGAGGUCCCUGCUGAGGUGGUGGCAGGAGCAGUGGAGGUGACAUCGGUGGGGGUGACACUGAUGGAGGUGACAUCGGUGGUGGUGACACCAGUGGGGGUGACACCAGUGGAGGUGACACUGAUGGAGGUGCCACCAGUGGAGGUGACACUGGUGGAGGUUCCCUCAGUAGUAGAGGAGACAGCGGGGUUCUGUCCUGAGAUGGUGGCAGGAGCAGUGGAGGUGACACUGGUGGAGGUGACACCGGUGGAGGUGACAGCGGUGGAGGUGACACUGGUGGAGGUGACAGCAGUGGAGGUGACAUCGGUGGAGGGUCCUUGCAGGGUUGUGGAAGAGGCUGUAGAGGACGCUCCUGAGGCAGUGGGAGAUGAUGUGGGGGUGACACUGGUGGAGGUGACAUCUGUGGUGGUGCCACCAGUGGAGGUGACAGCAGUGGUGGUUCCCUCAGUAGAAGAGGAGACAGCAGAGGAUCCUCCUGAGGUGGUGGCAGGAGCAGUGGAGGUGACAUCAGUGGGGGUGACACUGGUGGAGGUGACAGCAGUUGGGGUUCCCUCAGUAGCAGAAGAGACAGUGGAGGUCCCUGCUGAGGUGGUGGCUGGAGCGGUGGAGGUGACAUCGGUGGAGGUGACACCAGUGGAGGUGACAUCGGUGGUGGUGACACCAGUGGGGGUGACAUUGGUGGAGGUGACAGCGCUGGAGGUGACACUGGUGGAG